rnacentral:misc_RNA from 1 species
GAUGAAGAACGCAGCGAAAUGCGAUACGUAAUGUGAAUUGCAGAAUUCAGUGAAUCAUCGAGUCUUUGAACGCACAUUGCGCCCCCUGGUAUUCCGGGGGGCACGCCUGUCCGAGCGUCAUUGCUGCCCUCAAGCACGGCUUGUGUGUUGGGCCUCCGUCCUCCUCCCGGGGGACGGGCCCGAAAGGCAGCGGCGGCACCGCGUCCGGUCCUCGAGCGUAUGGGGCUUCGUCACCCGCUCUUGUAGGCCCGGCCGGCGCUUGCCGACACAUCAAUCUUUUUUCCAGGUUGACCUCGGAUCAGGUAGGGAUACCCGCUGAACUUAAGCAUAUCAAUAGCGGAGGA